UGUAAUCGAAAUUGAAUUAUAAAGAAAUUUGUAAUCGAAGAUACAUGUCCAGAAAUCCAUCAUUUCAUUUUCGUCUUCGCCAUUCAUCAUCGUUGCCAUCAAUUCCAACUCAAAUUGAAGUUUCAUAUGAGGUUUAGUUCUCUUCAAUUUUGAUUAUAAAUAUCUAAUUUCUUGAUUCUUAUACUAUGCUCAUUAAUCCUAAAUCUCUAAUUUCACGUUUUCUAAAUUUUUUUUAUUUCCCCAAAUAUAUAGAAAUCCCUAACCUGUGAGUUUUUCCACUCGCUUUUCAUUUAUGGUUCAUACAAGUUUCAAUUCAGAUUUGAUUUACAAGUUUUUGCAUUUUGUUUAUAUGCAUUUUGCUUACAAUGGUUUGAAUCCAACUCUUGGUUUGAUAAUAUCCAUCUCUUAUAUUGAGAUUAGACAUUGAACAAUUUUACAACUUUUUUGUUUCAUAUAGACUGCACUGAACUUGCUUGAAGUUGCGAAACUUGACACCUAAGAAGGACCAUGAUAUUUUCAGAACUUCAGCAGACAUAUUACAUCUAGAAAUAU
rnacentral:lncRNA from 1 species